AUCCCGGAUUAACUCGCUUAGCUGUUAUUCUGAUUCAUGGGAGGCCGAGACCGAUGUCUGGGAGUUUCGCUGAUAGCUCCUUCUUUUUAACAGUGGAGGUGCUUCAUUAGUAACUCGCCACACAGAU
rnacentral:snoRNA from 2 species